rnacentral:sRNA from 1 species
CUUGGUCAUUUAGAGGAAGUAAAAGUCGUAACAAGGUCUCCGUUGGUGAACCAGCGGAGGGAUCAUUACCGAGUUUACAACUCCCAAACCCAUUGUGAACUUAUACCCAAAACGUUGCCUCGGCGGACACAGCGGUACCCGAGCCCCCGCAAGGGAGCAAAGGCGCCCCGUCCGCCAGGGGACCAAAACUCUUCUGUAUACCCAUAGCGGCAUGUCUGAGUGGAUUUAAAAACAAAUGAAUCAAAACUUUCAACAACGGAUCUCUUGGUUCUGGCAUCGAUGAAGAACGCAGCGAAAUGCGAUACGUAAUGUGAAUUGCAGACUUCAGUGAAUCAUCGAAUCUUUGAACGCACAUUGCGCCCGCCAGUAUUCUGGCGGGCAUGCCUGUUCGAGCGUCAUUUCAACCCUCAAGCCCUGCUUGGUGUUGGGGACCGGCUCAGCGGGUGCGGGCUUCGGCCCGCCCCGUGCCGCCCCCGAAAUGGAUCGGCGGUCUCGUCGCAGCCUUCUUUGCGUAGUAACAUACCACCUCGCAACAGGAGCGCGGCGCGGCCACUGCCGUAAAACGCCCAACUUUUUAGAGUUGACCUCGAAUCAGGUAGGAAUACCCGCUGAACUUAAGCAUAUCAAUAAGCGGAGGAAAAGAAACCAACAGGGAUUGCCCCAGUAACGGCGAGUGAAGCGGCAACAGCUCAAAUUUGAAAUCUGGCCCCUUGGGGCCCGAGUUGUAAUUUGCAGAGGAUACUUUUGGCGAGGCGCCUUCCGAGUUCCCUGGAACGGGACGCCAUAGAGGGUGAGAGCCCCGUCUGGUUGGAUGCCGAGCCUCUGUAAAGUUCCUUCGACGAGUCGAGUUGUUUGGGAAU